AUUGAACGCUGGCGGCAUGCCUAACACAUGCAAGUCGAGCGCAGCGGCGGACGGGUGAGUAAUGCCUAGGAAUCUGCCUGGUAGUGGGGGAUCACGUCCGGAAACGGGCGCUAAUACCGCAUACUAUCAGAUGAGCCUAGGUUGGAUUAGCUAGUUGGAGGGGUAAAGGCCUACCAAGGCGACGAUCCGUAGCUGGCCUGAGAGGAUGAUCAGUCACACUGGAACUGAGACACGGUCCAGACUCCUACGGGAGGCAGCAGUGGGGAAUAUUGGGCAAUGGGCGAAAGCCUGAUCCAGCCAUGCCGCGUGUGUGAAGAAGGUCUUCGGAUUGUAAAGCACUUUAAGUUGGGAGGCGUUACCAACAUAGUAAGCACCGGCUAACUUCGUGCCAGCAGCCGCGGUAAUUC
rnacentral:rRNA from 1 species